GGAGCCCCUUGCGGCGACUCGUGCCCCCCGGGCCGAUGCCACACACCUGCGGCAGGUCAGCUCCCCGUGGAGAGGAGACGGAGCGCAGGACUGAGAGUACCAUGUAAACAUCUGGAAGAGAGUUGUGCUGGAGCAGACCCACAUAUAGGCCCCCAGCCAGAUCUCUCUGGCCUGUCCAGGCGAUGUCCGGAGCAGAGCGGGUCAAGGGCGUCUGGAACGAGCUGCCCAGCCAUCUUGUUGAACCCGACACCUGGGCGUCCGUCAAGAAACGAUGAGCGGAGGAGAGAAACUAUCCAGUGGAGCUUGUUAUCACUUAUCACUGAUAUCCGACAGCCUCUUUGAGAUGCAAUUUCUGUCCCGAAAGGGGUGUGUGUGUGUGAUGGUAUGGUAAGAUACUGAGAGGUCCUUUCGGUGCUCCGACUGCAAAAGGGAAUACCUCCUGGAGCCACACUGGGAAAGACAGUUGAUGUGUUCUGCCGUUUUGUGCCGUUCUAACACGUUCCACUCCCCUUCGGUGGUGGGAUGUUUUUCAGGUUGCAAUUGAACAGAAACGGAUGUUUUCAGGUUGAGUUCAUUUUUCUGGACUAUACACGAACAGGUGAGUGAUUGUUUGUCCACUUCCAAAAAAACAUCAGCAGCAGUAAUGUACGCUGUGGUGCAGAGGCACUGCCAGCUGAUAUGGCUAUCGAGCAGGUAAGUAUCUCAAGUUGCAAAUGUUCAUGAUGUUGUCUGCUUUGGCACACUUUAAAUAUUCUG